rnacentral:lncRNA from 1 species
CAUGAAUUACUGGAAGCAAGACAGCAAGAAGAGAUAAGAGAGCUGAAAGCCGCUAUAGAAUGUCUUAAGCACAAGCUGUAUGAGAAAGAAGUGGAGGUUUCUAGGUGGAAAGACACAGCAAUGCUUAUUUCAAGGCAUGCUAUGGAACCUUCCCCCCUCCUCCAAAAUACCAGCGAAGAAUUGAUUAACAAAAGCAAUAUCUCUAAGCUGUCGAAACCAAAUGAUAUGUUUGCGUACUCUGACACUGAUUCUCCACAAGGGCCACAGUUUGAAUCUCAAUACAUACCGGAGUCCUCAACAGUUUCAGCGGUUGAUCAGUCUUUGAAGUGCGAACCACCUGAAAAAGAAGAGUGUUCAGAAGAAGCAAUGGAUCAGCUCGAGGCAGAACUCCAAGCUGAGUUGGAACGCUUACAACUGCACUUGGAUGGGGAGAAGUUGAAACACUCAGAGCUAUCAAGGGUAGAGGUAAGCUGAAUUGUAUGCUUUGUGGCGUGGUAUCCUGGAACUGUUUCUAUGAACUUAGUAUACUUUCUCUGAUGGUAGAAAUCUUCGCAUAGAAAUAUAUGGAAUGAGUUCAUAACAGAUACGAAUGCUGGAAAAUAUCUUAAAUUAUAAUAUCGAUGUAUUUUCUCUUCAUGCUUUUGUUGCUUGUAGAAAGAAAACCGUGAACAAUGUCAUUUGUUUGUCUUGGAUUGGAUCUUCCCACACCCUCACUUUGAUUCAUAGAAUUGAGAUUUUGCUAGCAAUUAGGGUUUAAUUCCUUUCUGCUGUUUGCAAGGUUGAUCUUCCUGUUCCAUAUUCCUUGUUGUGUCUUCUAAAUAUCAGAGAUAUUGGAAAUUGUAGGUGACUGAUGAAGAUACUACCUGCUCGAAAAGUCAGACCAAGACUUCUGGAGAAGUGAUUGACCUUCAACCUCACGAUGUAGACACAGAUUGUGGAGUUCCUCCUGAUGAAUUGGAAAGAAGGUUGCAUGAAUUACUGGAAGCAAGACAGCAAGAAGAGAUAAGAGAGCUGGAAGCCGCCAUAGAAUGUCUUAAGCACAAGCUUUAUGAGAAAGAAGUGGAGGUUUCUUGGUGGAAAGACACAGCAAUGCUUAUUUCAAGGAAUGCUAUGGAACCUUCCCCUUUCACUUCACGCAAUGAUCCAAAAAUUAUCACUGAUAGGUGAAGAUCAAACGUGCGGGAGUUUUGAGAUUGAGAUAUUAAUCAGCUAAGGUCACCAUAUGUCUAUAACUGUAAUUGGGUUCUGAUGAUGGU